UACGAAGGGGCUAGCGUUGCUCGGAAUCACUGGGCGUAAAGGGUGCGUAGGCGGGUCUUUAAGUCAGGGGUGAAAUCCUGGAGCUCAACGUCCAGAACUAGCCUUUGGAUACUGAGGAUCGUUGAGUUCGGGAGAGGUGAGUGGAACUGCGAGUGUAGAAGGUGAAAUUCGUAGAUAUUCGCAAGAACACCAGUGGCGAAGGCGGCUCACUGGCCCGAUACUGACGCUGAGGCACGAAAGCGUGGGGAGCCAAACAGGG
rnacentral:rRNA from 1 species